ACAGAGCUCAAGACCCCAGAUACCAUAACUCACGGACUGGAAGACUCAGCAGAAUAACCAGAGAUCAGAAAGGGAUUAUGACCAAGCUCUUCACACAGGACUCUGUUUAUCUAAGCAAGAAGAGCAGCACUUCUUUAACCAUUUCCACAGUGGCAGAAGUGCUCCGUGUGGGACACACACAUCUGGAUGCGCUACAUCUGAGAGCAGCACUUCUCCAAUACACAGCAGCCUCCAAUAGCAAGCGCGUGCCCAGAGCGUUUUUACACCCACUUCACAACCAGCUUUUUUUGUGAUUAGCAUCAGGAAUUGCAUCCCUUCUCCCACACUGCUGACGAAAGAGCCCAGUGACCUGCAGACCUCUGGCAGGCAGAAUUUAGGAAAGUCACAGCACUGAGCUAAAUCCAUCCUGAAGUUCAAACCAUCCCCUGGGGCUGAAGCUUGGCUACAAGAACCGGGCUGCCCAAAGGGACCAGAGAAAAACUGAGCUCCUACUCACACUGCUGAGAGAUCAGGGGCAGUCACAGGGCACUCAGCCUAGCGUGGGCUGGAGAGCAGAACACGGCUCUGACACGAGCACCGGGCAGAUUAUCACAGGACAUUGCACUCAGGGAAAGUGCUCAUGUGAUUGGGAUUUAACAGACGAUUAAAUAAUGCCGGCAUUUCUGACAGCUCAUGAAGAAACUGUGAUUAAAGGACUCCAGAAAAACUCAUUUUCCUUCCUGGCUCCAAUGCCAACCUCAGGAAUUUCCCUUCCAUUAAUACAGAUGUUCAACCAAAGCCAACCAGAGCAACUGCCCCCCACUCCAAUGGGAAUGGGACAGUCCUGCCACCAGGGAGCCAGCCCUGAGGAAGCUCGGCAUGGGAAGCUGCCCCGUGCCUUGGACUUCAUCCAAAGGGCUCCAGCCACAUGGUUCACACCUCCAGAUUUCAGUGCACCUGAG
ensembl:lncRNA